GUCGAACGGUAACAGGUCUUCGGAUGCUGACGAGUGGCGAACGGGUGAGUAAUACAUCGGAACGUGCCCGAGAGUGGGGGAUAACGAAGCGAAAGCUUUGCUAAUACCGCAUACGAUCUCAGGAUGAAAGCAGGGGACCGCAAGGCCUUGCGCUCACGGAGCGGCCGAUGGCAGAUUAGGUAGUUGGUGGGAUAAAAGCUUACCAAGCCGACGAUCUGUAGCUGGUCUGAGAGGACAACCAGCCACACUGGGACUGAGACACGGCCCAGACUCCUACGGGAGGCAGCAGUGGGGAAUUUUGGACAAUGGGCGCAAGCCUGAUCCAGCCAUGCCGCGUGCAGGAUGAAGGCCUUCGGGUUGUAAACUGCUUUUGUACGGAACGAAAAGACUCUGGUUAAUACCUGGGGUCCAUGACGGUACCGUAAGAAUAAGCACCGGCUAACUACGUGCCAGCAGCCGCGGUAAUACGUAGGGUGCGAGCGUUAAUCGGAAUUACUGGGCGUAAAGCGUGCGCAGGCGGUUAUGUAAGACAGAUGUGAAAUCCCCGGGCUCAACCUGGGAACUGCAUUUGUGACUGCAUAGCUAGAGUACGGCAGAGGGGGAUGGAAUUCCGCGUGUAGCAGUGAAAUGCGUAGAUAUGC
rnacentral:rRNA from 1 species